CUGCAAAUGGCUAAGCACUUGGGCAAGCACUUGGCUGGUAACCAAGAGACUGGUGGUUCAGGUCCACCCAGA
rnacentral:tRNA from 1 species